UUGCAGCCAAUUAUACUAACUGUCCCCUUCUCCCUCUGGGAGCCUGGUGUCCAAGGCUUUGAACAGCAGCCUCCUUGGUAAGUGUACACAGCCUGUUGCUUGCACAGGUUGCCCUAAGGGACCUUGGAGACAGCA
rnacentral:snoRNA from 1 species